UCGAGGAUCUUUUGCAAUGGGCGCAAGCCUGACAAUGCGACGCCGCGUGAGCGAUGAAGGCCUUCGGGUCGUAAAGCUCUGUCACGUGGGACGAACGUCCUGAUGGCGAAUAGCCUGAUGGGCUGACUGUACUGCGAGAGGAAGCCACGGCUAACUCCGUGCCAGCAGCCGCGGUAAUACGGAGGGUGCAAGCGUUAAUCGGAAUAACUGGGCGUAAAGCGCACGCAGGCGGUUAGAUAAGUCAGAUGUGAAAGCCCCGGGCUCAACCUGGGAACUGCUUUUGAUACUGCAAGGCUAGAGUUUCGGAGAGGAUGGUGGAAUUCCCAGUGUAGAGGUGAAAUUCGUAGAUAUUGGGAAGAACACCGGUGGCGAAGGCGGCCAUCUGGACGAACACUGACGC
rnacentral:rRNA from 1 species